GGGGAUGGGGCUCAGUGGCAGAGCACUUGCCUCUCAAAUAUGAGGCCCUGGGUUCGAUCCUCAGCAUCACAU
rfam:Ictidomys tridecemlineatus contig087851, whole genome shotgun sequence.